GUCUUGCUGACCAUCUUCCCUGGCCUCCUUUCACCUAGGAGACAGUUACCAUGAAUAUGAAAGGCAUUGUGACCUCACGCAAAGGAGUUCAGGGAAGUUCAUGAGAUCAUUUCCUGUCUCUCUGUCUCUCUAUCUCCCUGUCACUGUCUCUGUUUCUCUCCCUCCCCACAUAUACACUCCCUCUCUCCUUCUUCUUUUCUUCCACUUCCUCCUCCUCUUCUCCCUCCCUCUUUCCCUUCCUCUAUCCCAAUCCUUCUGGUAGCGGGUCCUAAAGACAACCACUGAUCCUGUAGAUCACCGUCCCCUUUUCAGACCUAUGGUCUCACCUCUUGCCAGCAGAGGGCAGCACAGAAGAUGUUUUUCAGCAGCAGCUUUCCACCUUAGCCUCUCCAGGUCAAUGUUAACUCAUGGUGACUAAGAGACAGGAUCAAGAGAUCUACUCCUCGGAUGUUACUUGGAAGGCAAUGGGGUCCCCUAUUCUUAAGCCAAAUGUAUAGGGAGACUAUGUUAACUGGUUAGUCAUCAGUAAGGCUCAUCCUCCCUAGAUAUUAACCUGCUGUCGUGAAGUCUUAAUCCUCGAGAACCUUUACUUAGUGUUGCUUAUAAGAGGAUCUGCUGGCUGGAACUCCAUUCCUUGCUACCUGGUAAUAUCCUCGGCUUGUCACCUACCCUGCCCUUCACAAUCCACCACAGUUCUGUCCACUGCUGUGGUGCCUGCAGAUGUUACCACCUAUAUCUCAUCCCCCCAACUAGACUCAGACCUCCUGGAAGACAAGGACCAUAUCUAUUAUUGGGUUAGGUCCACAUUCCCUAGCACAGUAGGAUAUACACAUAGGAACUGCUUAGUAUGUAUUUGUGGAUUUGAUUCAAAUGGGAAGAUGUAAGUGUUUUCAUAUUUUCUCUUAAUCUCUCUCCUGUCCUUUCCUGCCUACUCUCGUCACCUCUGGAAUUUGCAUUUAGUCUUUUGCUUUUUUUUUUUUUUUGGUUCUUUUUUCAGA